rnacentral:rRNA from 1 species
UACAGAGGGCCCGAGCGUUGCGCGGAAUCACUGGGCUUAAAGCGUGCGUAGGCGGAUCGUUAAGCGUUUUGUGAAAUCCCACGGCUCAACCGUGGAAUUGCAGGGCGAACUGGCGAUCUUGAGGUCGGUAGGGGUCGUUGGAACGCUAGGUGGAGCGGUGAAAUGCGUAGAUAUCUAGCGGAACGCCGAAGGUGAAGACAAGCGACUGGGCCGAUUCUGACGCUGAGGCACGAAAGCGUGGGGAGCGAACGGG